rnacentral:rRNA from 1 species
GACGAACGCUGGCGGCGUGCUUAACACAUGCAAGUCGAGCGGUAAGGCCCUUUCGGGGGUACGACGAGCGGCGAACGGGUAGAGUAACGCGUGGGUGACCUGCCUUUAGUCUCUGGGAGUAAGCCUGGGAAACGUAGGGUCGUAAUAACCGGAUAUGACUCCGCGGUGCAUGCUGUGGGGUGGAAAGCCUUGUGCGGCUGGAGAUGGGCCCGCGCUAUCAGCUUGUUGGUGGGGUGAUGGCCUACCAAGGCGACGACGGGUAGCCGGCCUGAGAGGGCGACCGGCCACACU